rnacentral:lncRNA from 1 species
GUCAGAGGGAGGAAGGGAGUCAGACAGAGGAAGGCAAUAUGAACACAAAAAUAGAGUCAGUAAAGGAGAUAAAACACUACGCUGCUGGUUUUGAAGAUAGAUAAAGGAUCACAAUUCAAAUAAUAGAAUUUGGCAAAGGCAAGGAAACAGGGCCCAUCCUAGAACCUCCAGAAGUAACCAGCUCUACUGACAGUCUGAUUUCAGCCAAAUGAGAAUGAUGUUGGACUUCUGCCCCCGAGACCGAGAAACAGAAGUGAGAAAGAUAUUGUAGUGGCCACAAGGAUGCAACAAACAGAUCUCCAAAUUUGAAGAGCAUAAUUGACUGAGAACUCUGGCUACUGCAUUCUGAGAUCCAAGCCUCGGUUAGUGCUGAGGCCCCAACUUCCCACAGGCUGCUCUCACUCAGUGAGUAAGUGCAGUGAUAGAAAGAUAAACCUCAUCCCAACUCCUUCUCAGUCUGAAGUCCCAACAGUAGCCACAGUUGGUGCCUGAUUUUCCUAAAUCCCUCAAAACUAAGGAGAGUGUAUUGAAUAAUAUUCAAGAAAAAUAUGAUGAAUGAUAAGAGAAUAGGAUUUAGAAUUAAAAUUCUAGGAAAGAUAAAAUCUAAAGAGCAUGGCAGUCAGAGGAGGAAACUAAGGAGGAAGACAACAGAAAUAACAGCGUCAAAGAAUUCAAGAGAAGAGAAAGAUUUGGGAAGAAGUCGUGGUCAAAUGUGUCACAUGCCAGAGAAAUACAAUCAGAUAAGGAAUAUGAAACCACUGGAUUAAGUGUUGUAUCACUGAGAAGCAAGAAUAAAACUGUAGUAUUUUGACACACGGAAGAAAGUGAUGAAAAUUACUGGAGUUUACAUGUGCAUAAUACAUGAUACUAGGUGUAUUAGUCUGUUCUUACACUGCUAAUAAAGACAUACCCCAGACUGCGUAAUUGAUAAAGAAAAAGAGAUUUAAUGGACUCACAGUUCCUCAUGGCUGGGGAGGCCUCACAAUCUUGGCAAAAGACAGAUGAGGAGCAAAGGCACAUUUACGUGGCAGCAGUCAAGAUAAUGUGUGCAGGAGAGCUGCCCUUUAUAAAACCAUCAGAUCUCAUGAGACUUAUUCCCUAUCAUGAGAACAGCAUGGGAAAAACUGAUUUUUUCAGUUCAAUUUAAAAAAAUCAUGAUUCAAUUUACCCAUGAUUCAAUGACCUCCCACUGGGUCCCUCCCAAGACACAUGGGGAUUAUGGGAGCUACAAUUCAAGAUAAAGUUUGGGUGGGAACACAGCCAAACCAUAUCAGUAGGUAUGAUCAAAUCAUGAAAUGUUACUUGUUUCAGAAUAUAUUCUAUUGCAUCCUGCUCCUGCAAGUCCAAAAGUACAAGAACACAUGUUUAGUCCUAAUUCAGAGAAAUGAAAUGAAUAAAUCCACAUGGAAUACAUUAUAUAACAUAUACACUUAUAUGUUUUAUAUUUAUAUAUACAAUGGAGGUUAUAUUAGACUUCUGCAAAAAAUGUUUGUUGCUUCAAUAAGAAAAACUUUUUGUUGCAAUUUUUAUAAGGAAAAAGUAAUAUGUAUUACUUAUUAGUUGAUGUUGCAAAGCUGAUGCUUAACACCACAGUCUUUUCUUUUUUCAUAAUCAUUAUGACAGCAUGUUUUGAACACCCUGCAUAGGAGAAUCACCAAGACCAAUAGCAGGCUAUGCAGGAGUGAGAGAUAGAUAAACUUUUGUUGUAGUCCAGUAACCAAAAGAUAGGGUUAUUUAUAAUCUAUAUCAUCUUAAUUCAUAUAAGGUCACAGAUUAAAAGAAACAAAUAUUUUAUCCUCCCUUCUACCUUGAAUUAGACCAUAUAAUAAUGUGCAUCAGAUAUUAAAGAGCUGCUUUUAUAUUAAAGUGAUACUUUGGCUUGCUUUCUUACUUCCCUUUUAUGCUCUCUCAAUGUUCUAGGAAAUAAAGUUGCCCCUAUCUGCUUACAAAGACAGCCAGUUAGUUCUCACUUCCUCUAAAAGUGCAUUCUCUAAUGGGAUCUAAUUAAACUAAAGAGCUUCUGCACAGCAAAAGAAACUACCAUCAAAGUGAACAGGCAACCCACAAAAUGGGAGAAAAUUUUCGCAACCUACUCAUCUGACAAAGGGCUAAUAUCCAGAAUCUACAAUGAACUCAAACAAAUUUACAAGGAAAAAACAAACAACCCCAUCAAGAAGUGGGCGAAGGACAUGAACAGACACUCUCAAAAGAAGACAUUUAUGCAGCCAAAAAACACAUGAAAAAAUGCUCACCAUCACUGGCCAUCAGAGAAAUGCAAAUCAAAACCACAAUGAGAUAUCAUCUCACACCAGUUAGAAUGGCAAUCAUUAAAAAGUCAGGAAACAACAGGUGCUGGAGAGGAUGUGGAGAAAUAGGGACACUUUACACUGUUGGUGGGACUGUCAACUUGUUCAACCAUUGUGGAAGUCAGUGUGGUGAUUCCUCAAGGAUCUAGAACUAGAAAUACCAUUUGACCCAGCCAUCCCAUUCCUGGGUAUAUACUGAAAGGACUAUAAAUCAUGCUGCUAUAAAGACACAUGCACAUGUAUGUUUAUUGUGGCACUAUUCACAAUAGCAAAGACUUGGAACCAACCCAAAUGUCCAACAAUGAUAGACUGGAUUAAGAAAAUGUGGCACAUAUACACCAUGGAAUAUUAUGCAGCCAUAAAAAAUGAUGAGUUCAUGUCUUUGUAGGGACAUGGAUGAAGUUGGAAAUCAUCAUUCUCAGUAAACUAUCGCAAGAACAAAAAGCCAAACACCACAUAUUCUCACUCAUAGGUGGGAAUUGAACAAUGAGAACACAUGGACACAGGAAGGGGAACA